rnacentral:rRNA from 1 species
UACGGGGGGGGCAAGCGUUGUUCGGAAUUACUGGGCGUAAAGGGCUCGUAGGCGGCCAACUAAGUCGGACGUGAAAUCCCUCGGCUUAACCGGGGAACUGCGUCCGAUACUGGAUGGCUUGAGUUCGGGAGAGGGAUGCGGAAUUCCAGGUGUAGCGGUGGAAAUGCGUAGAUAUCUGGAGGAACACCGGUGGCGAAGGCGGCAUCCUGGACCGACACUGACGCUG